ensembl:snoRNA
UGCAAAUGAUGUUUUCUCACGAUGGUCUUCCAAGCUCAAGCGCUGACGACAAAUGCCUUUUGGCAAACACUGAUGCAGCUUA